GACGAACGCUGGCGGCGUGCUUAACACAUGCAAGUCGAACGGAAAGGCCCUGCUUUUGUGGGGUGCUCGAGUGGCGAACGGGUGAGUAACACGUGAGUAACCUGCCCUUGACUUUGGGAUAACUUCAGGAAACUGGGGCUAAUACCGGAUAGGAGCUCCUGCUGCAUGGUGGGGGUUGGAAAGUUUCGGCGGUUGGGGAUGGACUCGCGGCUUAUCAGCUUGUUGGGGGGGUAGUGGCUUACCAAGGCUUUGACGGGUAGCCGGCCUGAGAGGGUGACCGGCCACAUUGGGACUGCGAUACGGACCAGACUCCUACGUGAGGCAGCAGUGGGGAAUAUUGCACAAUGGGCGGAAGCCUGAUGCAGCAACGCCGCGUGCGGGAUGACGGCCUUCGGGUUGUAAACCGCUUUCGCCUGUGACGAAGCGUGAGUGACGGUAAUGGGUAAAGAAGCACCGGCUAACUACGUG
rnacentral:rRNA from 1 species